rnacentral:rRNA from 1 species
AACGUAGGUACCGAGCGUUAUCCGGAUUUACUGGGCGUAAAGGGCGCGUAGGCGGCCACCGCAAGUCGACUGUGAAAUCUCCGGGCUUAACCCGGAAAGGUCAGCCGAUACUGCGGGGCUAGAGUGCAGAAGGGGCAACUGGAAUUCUCGGUGUAGCGGUGAAAUGCGUAGAUAUCUGGAGGAACACCGGUGGCGAAGGCGGCAUCCUGGACCGACACUGACACUGAGGAGCGAAAGCCAGGGGAGCAAACGGG